rnacentral:rRNA from 1 species
CCUACGGGUGGCAGCAGUAGGGAAUCUUCCACAAUGGACGAAAGUCUGAUGGAGCGACGCCGCGUGAGUGAAGAAGGGUUUCGGCUCGUAAAGCUCUGUUGGUAGGGAAGAAAGAUAGAGUUAGUAACUGGCCUUUAUUUGACGGUAAUUACUUAGACAGUCCCGGCUAACUACGUGCCAGCAGCCGCGGUAAUACGGAGGUGGCAAGCGUUUUCCGGAUUUAGUGGGCGUAAAGGGAGUGCAGGCGGUUCAGGAAGUCUGACGUGAAAGCCGUCGGCUCAACCGGGGAAUUGCAUUAGAAACUGUUGAACUGGAGUGCAGGAGAGGAGAGUGGAACUCCAUGUGUAGCGGUGGAAUGCGUAGAUAUAUGGAAGAACACCAGUGGCGAAGGCGGCUCGCUGGACUGCAACUGACGCUGAGGCUCGAAAGCGUGGGUAGCGAACAGGAUUAGAUACCCUGGUAGUC